UACGAAGGGGGCUAGCGUUGUUCGGAAUUACUGGGCGUAAAGGGCGUGUAGGCGGUCCGCUAAGUCAGGUGUGAAAGGCCUGGGCUCAACCCAGGAAAUGCGCCUGAGACUGACGGACUUGAGUACAGAAGAGGAUCGCGGAAUUCCCGGUGUAGAGGUGAAAUUCGUAGAUAUCGGGAGGAACACCAGUGGCGAAGGCGGCGAUCUGGGCUGAUACUGACGCUGAGGUGCGAAAGCGUGGGGAGCAAACAGG
rnacentral:rRNA from 1 species